CUACAUGAAAGCAAGCCAGAGAGAAUGUGGAGAAUGAAUAUGCAGGCAGCUACAAAGGCAGAACUGAACAGGUUUGAUUCUUCCCUAAUUCUUCCACAGCCUUCCCAUACAGCCAUCAGCAAAUCACAAUAAAAGCUCGUUUCCUCAUUCACAAAACAGCAGUUUGUCUUACAGAGAGGUGUAGGGCUAGCUGAGUCAAAGCAGGUAAAAAUCAGUGGGAAGGUGCUGUAGGAAGCUUCACCCCCACUGCAUUGCCCAGCCUCCCCAAGUCACAGCAGUACAUUCAAUGUGCAAUUCUGUGAGGCUCCUUUAGGCAGAGCUGCAAAAGAGGGGCAGUGGGACAUUAAAAUCACUCUAAUUGGGUACUAAGCGAUUAGUGGGGCAGGAAGAAGUACCUUGACAUGGCUUUCCUCUUGCAGUGUGCUCUGUCUUCCACAAACUGCUACAGCUAAUGCUCGUUUCCAAGAAGCACACACAGCAGAAGCUCUGCCCACUGUUCUGCGUGCCAUUCACUGCAGGGCUGGUGCUGCCAGGUGCUGGUGGUACGUGUGAUCUGUGCUGGCUUUGUGCUCUGAAGUAAGCUGGAUGGAUCUGUACCUGUUUUUAUUUUUCACUCUUGGUCUACACAAAGAAGCUUUCCUGACUGUAGCUUGUACUUCAGUGGUAAAGAUUGGGCAUCCAAGGCACAGUGAGUGUAAGAGAAGCAAUGCUGGUGAUUUGCAGCGUCAUCAGCUUUCAUCCUCCUCCCCCAUCAUCCCUUCUGACUUCCUUUUUUCUUCUUUCUCUUAUUUCAGAGGGUAGCUGAGUAGUUUCCUCUUUUUUCACAGAUUGGUUCCUGGAAUGACCUGUAUAAAGGAAAGCUGCAGCCCAGGCAGGUUUCUGCAGAGACAGAGCAGACAGACCAGGAGAAGAGCAGUGAAGGCUGUUGUCUGCACAGGCCCAGGGGAAUGCUUUUCUGCUCAUGAUCUGUUGGGGCUGCUUUGAUGUCAGGCAGAGUGAGGAAGGGCGAAGCAGCUCACUGUCACUUGUCGCUCACCGCCAUGCUGGAUGAAGAUAACGACGAGACAUGUUGGAAUAGCCUGGAAAACUUUCGGGUGAAGCUGAUCUCUGUGAUAGAUCCUUCCCGUAUAACACCUUAUCUUCGCCAGUGCCAGGUGAUAAACCAUGAUGAUGAGGAACAGGUUCUCAAUGACCCCAGCCUGGUCAUGCGCAAACGCAAAGCAGGUGUUCUUUUGGACAUUCUUCAGCGAACGGGGCGCAAGGGCUUUGAGGCUUUCAUGGAGAGCCUCGAGCUUUAUUAUCCACAGCUGUAUAAGAAAAUAACUGGGAAGGAGCCAAGCAGGGUUUUCUCUCUGAUUAUAGACACAGCUGGGGAAUCUGGCCUGAGCCAGCUCCUGAUGAAUGAGAUUACAAAGCUGCAGAGAACGGUGCAGGAGGAGCGGCAGAAGGCCCAGGAGCUCACCGUGUGGCUGCACACCAAAGAGAACAUGAUCAGAGAGAUGUGGGUGAGGGACAGCCUGCUCCGCAAGCACCAAGAGCGGGUGCAGAAGAUGAAGGAGGAGAGGGACAGUCUGAGCAGGGAGCUGCGGAAGUGUAAGGAUGAGAACUACAGCCUGGCAAUGAGCUACGCCAGACAGAGCGAAGAGAAGAGCAGCGCCCUCAUGAAGAACAGGGACCUGCUGCUAGAGAUUGAUAGCUUGAGGCAUAGCCUCAUGAAGGCUGAGGACGACUGCAAACUAGAGCGUAAGCACUCGAUGAAACUGAAGCAUGCCAUAGAGCAACGUCCGAGCCAUGAAGUGAUGUGGGAGAUCCAGCAGGAGAAGGAGUUGCUUUUGGCCAAGAAUCAGGAGCUGGAGAACACUCUCCAGCAGGUUGCCAGGGAGCAGAACUUGGAGAAGAGUCUCUCUUGUGAGACUGUGCAGAAAGAUACAGCCAGCCAGAUACCGGAGCGCCGGGACCUGCUGAACACCAUUUACCACCUUCGCAAGGAGCUGCGCCAAGCCGAGGUGCUUCGAGACAAAUGUGCAGAGGAAAAAGAGAUACUUGAACUACAGUGCACAUCUCUGAGGAAGGACUCCCAGAUGUAUAAAAGACGGAUGGAAGCUGUCUUACAGCAGAUGGAGGAAGUGGCCUCAGAAAGAGACCAGGCACUGCUGACCAGGGAACAGUUCUACGCACAGUACUCCAAGAACCUGAUGGAGAGGGACGCCUGUCGGAAGCAGAUUCGGGAGCUGGGGGAGCGAUGCGAUGAGCUGCAGCUGCAGCUCUUCCAAAAGGAGAGUCAGCUACUGGCUACUGAAGCCAAGCUGAAAAGGCUGCAACUGGAGCUACCUGCACUGACUUCUGACCUGGAUGACACCUCCUCCAGAGAUUCCCAGGAUCUCACUCUUCAUGGUCGUCUAGAUGAAGAUACGCACCUGCCUAAAAGUAAGGCUUUUGUUGGGGAGAACAUCCAGUACAGCUCUUGAUGGGGUUGCCCAGAGGGACAGGAAUAGGAAUGCUUUUUAUGUUAGUGCAGAAGAGGUACCCUGACCGAUGAGGCCUCAGUUUGUGAGUGAUGCUGCUCAGUGGGUCAUGCUUGGCACCUCCUUGAGAUGACUCAGAAUAGGUGCAUGUAAAUCUAGGCUUCUGGAGCCCUGAGGCAUUCUGCUACCCUUCUCACCUACAAAAAAGGAGAUCGUGUUCCCGGUAUCUGGGAACAGUGAAUGCUUGUACAGCUUUUCAGAGGGAAAAAUCUCCAUGUGUUAUUUGCUUUGUGCUCAAAAGAUGACUUUUUUCAGUCAUCUGCCUUCUGAAUUUGUCUGGCAAAAAUCACUCAGGUACACGAUGCCUUUGAGAAACAGCUCCUGUUGUGUUUGUGGCUGAGCUGAGAAUGGAACAAGACUCCUUCCACUCCAGCUGAACCAUGUGUCCUUCUGCAGAGACAUUUAUUUCCUCUCUUUUACGUUGCAGGCUAUUUUCACAAAAGCAGAACCACAUAAUUAAUACUGUCACUGGUUCUGCAGCCCCAAUGGAAACAAUUCAGCAGUGCAGAGAAGAAUAAACAGGGUCCUUUAAAACUCAAGAUUUGCUUUUGAAACGUUGCAAAAGGAAGGAAACAAGCCAAGGUCCUCUCCUGAAAGAUUUAAAUGAUCAUUCAUUGAGAUGGCAGAUUUUUCACAGGAGCUACCACAUUGAAACAGAAAGCCUUUUCUUGCUCUACUUCACUCAAAUCAAAAUUGCACACCACGUUGUCUGAUCACUGCAUUAGGAGUUUUGCUAAAAUACGACCUGUUGAGUAUCUUGAUAUGCACAUCUUAGCUGCUGGGGAGCAGGGACAAAUUGUGAUUAAUGUUUAGUGUGUUUUUUUUUUUUUUUUUAUUGUUCUGUCCAUUAUUAUUCUUUUAGUGAUGUUAGACAGAGGUGCUGCUCUGCAAUGGUUCAUUUUGCUCCUCCACAAACAGAAAUUAGACAGAUGGAGUCUCUGGUGAUCCUGUGGGGAAUUCCAUCACCCUAAGCAAGACUCAGAGAAGACUGCUGUGAAGAACAAAACCAGCAAUUCAGCGUUCGAGAAAGCAACCUGCCUGCAGAAUCACC